UAGGGAAUAUUGGGCAAUGGGUGAGAGCCUGACCCAGCCAUGCCGCGUGCCGGAAGACGGCCCUCUGGGUUGUAAACGGCUUUUAUAUAGGAACAAAAGGGUCCUGCGGGACAGAUUGUGUGUACUAUAUGAAUAAGCACCGGCUAACUCCGUGCCAGCAGCCGCGGUAAUACGGAGGGUGCCAGCGUUGUCCGGAUUUAUUGGGUUUAAAGGGUACGUAGGCGGAAGGCUAAGUCCGAGGUGAAAGCCCAUCGCUCAACGAUGGAACUGCCUUGGAUACUGGUCAUCUUGAGUGCCGUAGAGGUAGGCGGAAUUCAUGGUGUAGCGGUGAAAUGCAUAGAUACCAUGAGGAACACCGAUAGGGAAGCCAGCUUACUAGACGGUCACUGACGCUGAGGUACGAAAGCGUGGGGAGCGAACAGGAUUAGAUACCCCCGUAGUCC
rnacentral:rRNA from 1 species